rnacentral:rRNA from 1 species
GAUCCUGGCUCAGGAUGAACGCUAGCUACAGGCUUAACACAUGCAAGUCGCGGGGCAGCAUGAAUUUAGCUUGCUAAAUUUGAUGGCGACCGGCGCACGGGUGAGUAACGCGUAUCCAACCUUCCCCCUGUCCACGGGAUAGCCCGUCGAAAGGCGGAUUAAUACCGUAUGAGGUCACACGAUGGCAUCGGAGUGUGACGAAAGGUUUUGCGGACAUGGAUGGGGAUGCGUCCGAUUAGCUAGUUGGCGGGGUAACGGCCCACCAAGGCGACGAUCGGUAGGGGUUCUGAGAGGAAGGUCCCCCACAUUGGAACUGAGACACGGUCCAAACUCCUACGGGAGGCAGCAGUGAGGAAUAUUGGUCAAUGGGCGAGAGCCUGAACCAGCCAAGUAGCGUGCAGGAUGACGGCCCUAUGGGUUGUAAACUGCUUUAUAAGGGAAUAAAGUGAGCCUCGUGAGGCUUUUGCAUGUACCUUAUGAAUAAGGACCGGCUAAUUCCGUG